rnacentral:rRNA from 1 species
AGCGAACGCUGGCGGCAGGCCUAACACAUGCAAGUCGAACGAAGCCUUCGGGCUUAGUGGCGGACGGGUGAGUAACACGUGGGAACGUACCUUUUGGUUCGGAAUAACGCAGAGAAAUUUGCGCUAAUACCGAAUGAGCCCUUAGGGGGAAAGAUUUAUCGCCGAAAGAUCGGCCCGCGUUGGAUUAGGUAGUUGGUGUGGGAAAGGCGCACCAAGCCUACGAUCCAUAGCUGGUCUGAGAGGAUGAUCAGCCACACUGGGACUGAGACACGGCCCAGACUCCUACGGGAGGCAGCAGUGGGGAAUCUUGCGCAAUGGGCGAAAGCCUGACGCAGCCAUGCCGCGUGAAUGAUGAAGGUCUUAGGAUUGUAAAAUUCUUUUACCAGGGACGAUAAUGACGGUACCUGGAGAAAAAGCCCCGGCUAACUUCGUGCCAGCCGCCGCAGUAAAAC